UUGACCAAAAGGUGAUAAGACAGGUUUUGUGGCGGGUGUUGGAGGUGAUGAGACAUGUUUUGAGGCGGGUGUUGGAGGUGAUGAGACAGGUUUGGAGGCGGGUGUUGGAGGUGAUGAGACAGGUUUGGAGGCGGGUGUUGGAGGUGAUGAGACAGGUUUGGAGGCGGCUGUUGGAGGUGAUGAGACAUGUUUUGAGGCGGCUGUUGGAGGUGAUGAGACAGGUUUGGAGGCGGCUGUUGGAGGUGAUGAUCCAAUUGAUGAUGGCUCUGUUGGUGGGCAGAAAACUGGGGGUGAUGAGGCUGACUUACAGAUGGUUGGUGAAAAGGAAGCUAGUGGAGUGAUAGUAAAAAAACAGAAGUUUAAGAUGUGUGCUAAGAAGAAAUAUCACUAGGCACCAAAAAGGAAGCUAAAGCCUUCAAUCCAUGUCAAGCCUCCUUAUACCGAAGAAAAGGCGAAGAAGGAAAAGAAGAAGGAGAAGAAGAAGAAGGAGAAGGAGCAGGAGAAGAGUUCGGCUCCUAUUUUGGUAUCUGAUGAUGAGUAUCGCUUGUAUGCUGGUGUGUGAUGUUAAUGUAUGAAUCUGUGUUUAGGUACAACUGAUACGAUUAGGUACAACUAUGUUUCUGGGUUUAUGUAUUUUGAUUAGGUAUGAAUCUUUGAAUCUGAAUCUAAUUAUGUAUGAAUAUUUUAAUCUGAAUCUUAAUAUUUUUAUUUAUGAAUCUAUGUAUUGAAAAAAAAAA